rnacentral:rRNA from 1 species
AACGUAGGUGGCGAGCGUUAUCCGGAAUACUGGGCGUAAAGCGUGUGCAGGCGGGCUAGCAAGUGGUGUAUGAAAGCUCCCGGCUCAACCGGGAAGGGUUAUGCCAGACUGCUAGUCUUGAGUGCGAGAGAGGAGCGUGGAAUUCCGGGUGUAGUGGUGAAAUACGUAGAUAUCGAGAAGAACACCAAUAGCGAAAAGCACUCUGCUGGGCCGAAACUGACAUUGAGAGACGAAAGCUAGGGGAGCAAAAGGG